UCGACUCCGGGUCUAAUAAUACACCUUCUAUAGGGUAUAUUUCUUUUUUCCUGUCAUACUUAUUUUACAACAAAACUUUUCUUCUUUUGUUUUUAAUCUACUUUUCCUUCUAAUUAUUACUUUCUAUUUAAGAUCACCAUCGUCUGAGUCUUUUUCAUCAUCAUCCUCAAGUCACCUGUCGACUUCAUUUUCGACAAUAACAAGAUCUCCUUCCACUGUCUCAUCGCGAUCUACUUCGCCGGAAAUAACAUCUCCCCCUAAGAGUCCUCAUUUUUCGCAAACGGAUGAUGAUGAUAUUAGUACUGUAGAUCUCGGACCUACCAACAUCACUAUUUAUUAUAUGAAAAACGAGAAAAAGCGACUGACCACAGAGCUUGCAUCAAAACAAGGUGCCAACGAAACCUUAGGAAAACAAAUAGGGGACCUAAACAAACAAAUGUUCUUCUCUUUUAUACAGUGAGGGAUAAUUCAUGUAACUAAUUACUGACAAAUACAUUCAUUUCAGUGACUUUUCUAACCUUUUUUGUAAAUUUAACGAGAUUCUUAUGUUAACGACAUAUUCCUAUAUCUAUCAUUUGAUAUGUAU